UACAGAGGUCCCAAGCGUUGUUCGGAUUCACUGGGCGUAAAGGGUGCGUAGGUGGCUUGGUAAGUUUGAUGUGAAAUCUCCGGGCUUAACCCGGAAAUGGCAUUGAAUACUACUUUAGCUGGAGGUUUGGAGGGGGGACUGGAAUUCUCGGUGUAGCAGUGAAAUGCGUAGAUAUCGUGGAGAACACCCGUGGCGAAGGCGGGCGUUCUGGCUAAUGGCUGACGCCUGAGGUGCGAAAGCUAGGGAGCGAA
rnacentral:rRNA from 1 species